UGGCGACCGGCGCACGGGUGAGUAACACGUAUCCAACCUGCCUCAUACUCGGGGAUAGCCUUUCGAAAGAAAGAUUAAUACCCGAUGUCACAGUCCUACCGCAUGAUGGGAUUAUUAAAGAAUUUCGGUAUGGGAUGGGGAUGCGUUCCAUUAGUUAGUUGGCGGGGUAACGGCCCACCAGACAACGAUGGAUAGGGGUUCUGAGAGGAAGGUCCCCCACAUUGGAACUGAGACACGGUCCAAACUCCUACGGGAGGCAGCAG
rnacentral:rRNA from 1 species